rnacentral:lncRNA from 1 species
AGAGAGGAAGGCCAUGGGAAGACAGAGCCAGAGAUUGGCAUGACUCAGUCACAAGCCAAAGAAUGUCUGGGAACAGAAACUGGGAGAGGCAGGGAAUGGAUUCUGCCCUCGUCUCUGGAGGGAUCAUGGCCCUGCCAACAGCUUGCCUUUGGACUUCUGGCCUCCAGAAUGGUAAGGGAAUAGAUUUCUGUUUUUCUAGCACCCAGGUUGUGGUACUUUGUUACAGCAGACCUAAGAAACUGUGUCUUAAGAAGGAGCAGGACAGAAGAAAUUCCAGGCUUUGCCAGCAUCUGCCCCUCCCAUUGGUGCUAGUGUGACUGGAGCUAGGAGCAAUCUCGAGGGAAAAAUAAAGAAACCUUAACAACUGCAACCUGCUGUAGACCACAGAUCAAGGGUACCCCAGAUCUCAUCUCCACAGCUAGGCUCAAUCGAGGCUUCCUGUUUGCUAGAGUGUCACUUGGGAGGGGGAUUUGCAAAAAGAAGGUUUAUGUACAUCACUAUGAGAGAAAUUUAUGGUCCUUAUGGGCAAAUGCAAAACAGCUAAAACAUAUUCCAGGCUCCCAGGAGGAAGACAGAACUGCACUGGUCUAUUUCCUUUAGAUCUUUAGCAUUGGCCACAGCUGGUUGCUCAGCAUGGUGGAAAGAAUGAGAUUUUGGGGCUUGGGGUCAGAUAGACUGGGGUUUGUAACCUGGUUCUGCCAUGCAGUAGCUGGGUGACUUUGGACAAGUAACUAAAGUCCUCUGAGUCUCAGUUUUCUUUCUUGUAGACCAUAAUAAUAAAAUCUACCCAUUGGGGUGUUGAUUGAAUGAGAUUUUAUACACACACACACACACACACAUAUACAGAAGGAACACAGUUUGUGCUCAGUCAAGUUUAGCAAUUAUUUCUAUACUGAAUGAAUGGGGUAGUGUGAAAUGAACAUUUCCUAUCUUCUUAUGAACAGUUCAUAGACAUUUGUUAAAUGGCUGCAUCAUAGACCAUCAAGUAGAUGUGGGAGAGAUUAAGCUGACAAACUGAUGCUGGUAGCAGCUGCAUUGCCUCCCCAGGGUCCCUUAAUGAGUUUACUGCUAAUUAUACAGUCCCUCUACCCCCCCACCUCCAAGCAAUUGGUACCCUCCUUUCCUCUGCUACCUUUCCCCCUGCUCACCCCCUGCCAUGAGCUCACAGUUUUGGAAGUCAUAGAAAUCAGCUACCUGUUUAUACACCUCGGGUACCUUAAGCACUCAGGUUUAGAUAAACAAGUGCUUGGAGACAGAGAAUAAGGCCUCAAAAUAACCCACUCAAGAUUGCACCCAGCUUUAUGUUUCUACAAGAAGGAGCUAUCCAGCCAAUAGGAGGAUUAGCCAAUAAAGAACUUAAAAGAUCCUCACUAAAUAAAAAUAACACGAACCAUUCUCCAGGAGGCCUCCUGAGUCUUCAUUGCAUUUAAGUGCUGCAUGUAAAGUCAGGUUUAUUUUUAUGGGUUUUGAGUCUUUUUUCCCCAUAGCUCUCCUCAUUUCUGUAAUAGACUCUGCUCAGUUACACGGGGCAUCCAAAACACCUCUCCCUCCAUUUCCCAAUUGGGCUGUGGGGAGGACACCCUAUCCAAGGGGCUAGGGGGAGCCAGAGAGGGCCCACUUUCAGGAUUUCUUUCCUAAUAUUACACCUUGGUGGUCAGUUUUGAACUGUGGUCAGCAUCUCAACGGUUUAUCUUGCUUUUUGGCAAUUGUCAGAUAGGAUGAUGCUGUGGGACAUAGUGUCAGAAAAGAGACUAUUUUCUAAAAAAAGUAAUAAAAAUGAAAAUCUUCUUUUACUGGAUGCCUCCACAUUCAUAGUAAAGAAUUUUCUAAGAAUUUUUUAUUUGCAUUCUUACUUAAACUUUAUAACAAAUUUGAGACUGGCCUUGCCAGCCACAUUUAUGUACAGAGGUCUUUUAACCCAUUUAAGAGCCAUGUGGCUAAUGAAUGGAGGGGUUGGGAUUCCAGUUGAGUGGGCACAUGGAGGGGUGAGUGAUAAUCAUUUUAGCUUUAGAGCACAAUCUUUUUAGGGUUAUAUGUGUCUUGGUUUUUGCUGCUUAACAGAAUAUCUGAGAUAGUUCAUAAUAUAUAUGGUAUUUAUUUAUAUUUAUUUAUUUCUCAUUGUUUUGUAGGCUGAGAAGCCCAAGAUCAAGGUGCUAUCAUCUGGCAGGGGCCUUCCUUGCUGCAUCUUCACAUAGUGGAAUGAAAAAGGGCAAGAGAGUAUGUCUGUCCUCACGGGCAGAACAGAAGAGAGCAAACACUCCUGCACAUCCUUUUAAUAACAGAAUUAAUUCAUUUCUGGGGGCAAUGUCCUCAUGAACUGAAUACCUCCCAAAGACUCUGCCUCCUAACACUGUUGCACUGUGAGCAAGUUUCUAACACAAUGAACUCUGGGAGACACAGUCAGACCACGGCAAUGAGUUUAAUGGUUCUCCAUGUUGGCCCCAAUACUUGACUGGGAGUCUUGCCUUGACUUUUAUUCCAUCCAAGAGUUAUCAAAAUUUGGACUGAGAGGAGUAAUACUUAUAUAUCAGGAGGCUUUGCCCAAGAAUCACACUCAUCUUCCAGGUCUAGUGAGUGGUUCUUUAACUUGACCAGGAACCAGGAUUGUCCAAUCAGACUCUGUAGGGAUGGAGGUUUGGGCAUCUGUAACUUUUUACAGGCAAUUGGCAGCAAUCCUGAUGCAACUGGUCUAUGGACUAGCCUCUGUGAAUCAGAGCAUAAAACAUUCUAGUCUUAUUAUUAUAGAGUUGCAAAUCAAUGACAUCUUUGGAAAUCAUGACUCUUGCUGUCCUGUCUGGACAUUGGCUGAAAAUGAAGGGUGUUUUAUGACCCUUUAAUCAAUCAAUCAAUCAAUCAAUCAAUCUAUCUAUCUAUCCAUAUAUAUACAUAGAUAUAGAUAUGGUGGGAUGAUUGAUAUUAUUAAAGAUAAAAGUUGGUGAUCAGAGAAAUUCCUUACUUAAUGUUAGACUUCAGAUUCAGAAAUAACUUUAUAUCUCCUGAAAACUAAUUUUUUCUCUCUCUGUGUGGAUAUUAUAUUAUGUAACUGUUUGGAUUUCUUUAUUUAACCUGGCCAUUAAGAAGCCCAAAACAAAAUUUACAUCCUUUUUAGUAAAUUGUAAAGAACCCUAUGUAUUUUGUUUCUAACUUUACUUCUGGAUUAUUUUCCCUUCCU